UCCUGGUUAACCCAGGCAGUCUCGUUAGAGUUCCCAUCCGAAAUGUUGGCAACUAACGAUAAGGGUUGCGCUCGUUGCGGGACUUAACCCAACACCUCACGGCACGAGCUGACGACAGCCAUGCAGCACCUGUGCAGAAGUCCCGAAGGAACAUACCAUCUCUGGUAUUGUCUUCUGCAUGUCAAGCCUGGGUAAGGUUCUUCGCGUUGCAUCGAAUUAAACCACAUGCUCCACUGCUUGUGCGGGUCCCCGUCAAUUCUUUUGAGUUUCACCCUUGCGGGCGUACUUCCCAGGCGGCAUACUUAACGCGUUCGCUACGGCACAACCGGGGUUGAGUCCGGUUACACCAAGUAUGCAUCGUUUAGGGCGUGGACUAC
rnacentral:misc_RNA from 1 species